rnacentral:ncRNA from 2 species
UACAGAGGUCUCAAGCGUUGUUCGGAAUCACUGGGCGUAAAGGGUGCGUAGGCUGCGCCGUAAGUCAGAUGUGAAAGCUCAGGGCUCAACCCUGAAAUUGCAUCCGAUACUGCGGUGCUUGAGAAAUGAAGGGGAGUCUAGAAUUUUCGGUGUAGCAGUGAAAUGCGUAGAUAUCGAAAGGAAUACCAAAGGCGAAGGCAGGACUCUGGGCAUUUUCUGACGCUGAUGCACGAAGGCCAGGGUAGCGAACGGG